AAAAGAACCUGAAACCGUGUACGUACAAGCAGUGGGAGCCCCACCACCAAAGCAUUCUCUGGUGUUGAAGGCCCUGCAAAGCAGCAUCGCGGUGGCGGAGCGUCGUUUGCGACGCCCAACACACAAAACAAGCGGUGAAUGCUUUGGGGUGGGGUGACUGCGUACCUUUUGUAUAAUGGGUCAGCGACUUAUAUUCUGUAGCAAGGUUAACCGUAUAGGGGAGCCGGAGGGAAACCGAGUCUUAAUUGGGCGUUAAGUUGCAGGGUAUAGACCCGAAACCCGGUGAUCUAGCCAUGGGCAGGUUGAAGGUUGGGUAACACUAACUGGAGGACCGAACCGACUAAUGUUGAAAAAUUAGCGGAUGACCUGUGGCUGGGGGUGAAAGGCCAAUCAAACCGGGAGAUAGCUGGUUCUCCCCGAAAGCUAUUUAGGUAGCGCCUCGUGAAUUCAUCUCCGGGGGUAGAGCACUGUUUCGGCUAGGGGGCCAUCCCGGCUUACCAACCCGAUGCAAACUGCGAAUACCGGAGAAUGUUAUCACGGGAGACACACGGCGGGUGCUAACGUCCGUCGUGAAGAGGGAAACAACCCAGACCGCCAGCUAAGGUCCCAAAGUCAUGGUUAAGUGGGAAACGAUGUGGGAAGGCCCAGACAGCCAGGAUGUUGGCUUAGAAGCAGCCAUCAUUUAAAGAAAGCGUAAUAGCUCACUGGUCGAGUCGGCCUGCGCGGAAGAUGUAACGGGGCUAAACCAUGCACCGAAGCUGCGGCAGCGAACGUAUCACCCAAGACAACUUUACGGAGUUGACGAUUGACGGAGCGAAGCGACGUCAAAGCGUUCAUUAAAGUCGAGUUGGCUUAGGGAUACGUUCGUUGGGUAGGGGAGCGUUCUGUAAGCCUGUGAAGGUGUGUCGUGAGGCAUGCUGGAGGUAUCAGAAGUGCGAAUGCUGACAUAAGUAACGAUAAAGCGGGUGAAAAGCCCGCUCGCCGGAAGACCAAGGGUUCCUGUCCAACGUUAAUCGGGGCAGGGUGAGUCGACCCCUAAGGCGAGGCCGAAAGGCGUAGUCGAUGGGAAACGGGUUAAUAUUCCCGUACUUGGUGUUACUGCGAAGGGGGGACGGAGAAGGCUAUGUUGGCCGGGCGACGGUUGUCCCGGUUUAAGCGUGUAGGUGUGUGUUCCAGGUAAAUCCGGUUCACUUUAACACUGAGGCGUGACGACGAGGCACUACGGUGCUGAAGCAACAAAUGCCCUGCUUCCAGGAAAAGCCUCUAAGCAUCAGGUAACAUCAAAUCGUACCCCAAACCGACACAGGUGGUCAGGUAGAGAAUACCAAGGCGCUUGAGAGAACUCGGGUGAAGGAACUAGGCAAAAUGGUGCCGUAACUUCGGGAGAAGGCACGCUGACACGUAGGUGAAGUGAUUUACUCAUGGAGCUGAAGUCAGUCGAAGAUACCAGCUGGCUGCAACUGUUUAUUAAAAACACAGCACUGUGCAAACACGAAAGUGGACGUAUACGGUGUGACGCCUGCCCGGUGCCGGAAGGUUAAUUGAUGGGGUCAGCGCAAGCGAAGCUCCUGAUCGAAGCCCCGGUAAACGGCGGCCGUAACUAUAACGGUCCUAAGGUAGCGAAAUUCCUUGUCGGGUAAGUUCCGACCUGCACGAAUGGCGUAAUGAUGGCCAGGCUGUCUCCACCCGAGACUCAGUGAAAUUGAACUCGCUGUGAAGAUGCAGUGUACCCGCGGCAAGACGGAAAGACCCCGUGAACCUUUACUAUAGCUUGACACUGAACAUUGAGCCUUGAUGUGUAGGAUAGGUGGGAGGCUUUGAAGUGUGGACGCCAGUCUGCAUGGAGCCGACCUUGAAAUACCACCCUUUAAUGUUUGAUGUUCUAACGUGGACCCGUUACCCGGGUUGCGGACAGUGUCUGGUGGGUAGUUUGACUGGGGCGGUCUCCUCCUAAAGAGUAACGGAGGAGCACGAAGGUUGGCUAAUCCUGGUCGGACAUCAGGAGGUUAGUGCAAUGGCAUAAGCCAGCUUGACUGCGAGCGUGACGGCGCGAGCAGGUGCGAAAGCAGGUCAUAGUGAUCCGGUGGUUCUGAAUGGAAGGGCCAUCGCUCAACGGAUAAAAGGUACUCCGGGGAUAACAGGCUGAUACCGCCCAAGAGUUCAUAUCGACGGCGGUGUUUGGCACCUCGAUGUCGGCUCAUCACAUCCUGGGGCUGAAGUAGGUCCCAAGGGUAUGGCUGUUCGCCAUUUAAAGUGGUACGCGAGCUGGGUUUAGAACGUCGUGAGACAGUUCGGUCCCUAUCUGCCGUGGGCGCUGGAGAACUGAGGGGGGCUGCUCCUAGUACGAGAGGACCGGAGUGGACGCAUCACUGGUGUUCGGGUUGUCAUGCCAAUGGCACUGCCCGGUAGCUAAAUGCGGAAGAGAUAAGUGCUGAAAGCAUCUAAGCACGAAACUUGCCCCGAGAUGAGUUCUCCCUGAGACUUAGAGUCUCCUGAAGGAACGUUGAAGACGACGACGUUGAUAGGCCGGGUGUGUAAGCGCAGCGAUGCGUUGAGCUAACCGGUACUAAUGAACCGUGAGGCUUAACCUUACAACGCCGAAG
rnacentral:rRNA from 1 species